rnacentral:rRNA from 1 species
CCUACGGGAGGCAGCAGUAGGGAAUCUUUCACAAUGGGCGAAAGCCUGAUGGAGCAACGCCGCGUGCAGGAUGAAGGCCUUCGGGUUGUAAACUGCUUUUAUAAGCGAGAAAUAUGAUGGUAACUUAUGAAUAAGGAUCGGCUAACAACUUGCCAGCAGCCGCGGUCAUACGUAGGAUCCGAGCAUUAUCCGGGGUGACUGGGUGUAAAGAGUUGCGUAGGUGGCGUAAUAAGUAGCUAGUGAAAUCUGGUGGGUCAACCAUUCAGACUAUUAGCUAAACUGUUAAGCUCGAGACCGUGAGGGGUAACUGGAAUUUCUAGUGUAGGAGUGAAAUCCGUAGAUAUUAGAAAGAACACCGAUAGCGUAGGCAGGUUACUGGGACGGUUCUGACACUAAGGCACGAAAGCGUAGGGAGCAAACGGGAUUAGAUACCCGGGUAGUC